rnacentral:rRNA from 1 species
GUUCGGUCCCUAUCCGUCGUGGGCGUAGGAAAUUUGAGAGGAGCUGUCCUUAGUACGAGAGGACCGGGAUGGACACACCGCUGGUGUACCAGUUGUCUUGCCAAAGGCAUCGCUGGGUAGCUAUGUGUGGACGGGAUAAGUGCUGAAAGCAUCUAAGCAUGAAGCCCCCCUCAAGAUGAGAUUUCCCAUAGCGCAAGCUAGUAAGAUCCCUGAAAGAUGAUCAGGUUGAUAGGUCAGAGGUGGAAGCGUGGCGACAUGUGUAGCUGACUGAUACUAAUCGAUCGAGGACUUAACCAAAA